GGAUUAGCAGGUUGGUCGUGCCACUGGUAUGAACUGGCCUUGCUGAUUCCUCCCUCUUGAUGAGCCGUAAUGCCAUUAAUUUGGUGUUGCGAGGAAUCAGGACUGUUACUUUGAAAAAAUUAGAGUGUUCAAAACAGGCAUUUGCUUGUAUACAUUAGCAUGGAAUAACGGAAUAGGACU
rnacentral:rRNA from 1 species